rnacentral:misc_RNA from 1 species
UCUCCGUUGGUGAACCAGCGGAGGGAUCAUUAUCGAGUUUAUAACUCCCAAACCCUAUGUGAACUUACCACUUGUUGCUUCGGCGCGCGCUUCGGCGCCGCCGAGGACACUUAAACUCUUUGCUUUUAUAAGCAUUUCUGAGUGGCCGAAAGGCAAAAUACAAAUGAAUCAAAACUUUCAACAACGGAUCUCUUGGUUCUG